rnacentral:ncRNA from 2 species
GCAUUCGACUAGGGGUGCCUGUUUGGGCUGAGAGAGACCCUUAUUACCUGAUCUGGGUAAUACCAGCGCAGGGAAGUCGAAUCCGGUGCUA